CGAGCCUUCAGGCACAAUGGACUUUUGGAAGACACCCAAGCCACACACAAAGCAUAGCACAGGGAAGGUGCAAGCUCUCUUGGUCCUGGUGUUCUCAUCUGUACAGUAAUCUCCAUGACUCCUCCAUGUCCCUCCACUGGGGAGCACCAAGUGAAAGGAGGGAGAAGGCUGGGAACUGCCAAGUGGAAAGUGCGAGUCAAACAUGAGGUGCAUAUGAGGCUCAAGACGGACCCACCAUUUCCGGCUGGCCCUGCCUACUGUCCUGACUCCAAGGAGCACCUGGGAACUACCCCAAAUCACCAACAUCCUGGGGAAAAGGAGCACAGACCAUCAAUGGCCAUUGGAAAGGUGACAAAUGGAGACCUUUACUCAGAAGCAGGAGAGAAGCAGGUUGUCCAAAGUACUGAAUGCAUCUCCCCGAUCAAAUUCUUGGUUAUAUUCAAAUACUCCACACUAUGUACAAAAAUCCAUUCUGUUGCUUCAAAACAAAUCAUGAACAUCUGGGCCUUGGUUGUAAUUUCAAAUAAAAAGUUAGCAAAUUUAAAUAUCAGCACAG
rnacentral:lncRNA from 1 species